AACGAAAACACUAAAAUUAAUCAUAUAUAUGAUCCUUCCACUAAAUGUUUUGGCAACAUGACUCUCUAAAUCAUGAUAAAAAGAAAUGUGCCAAUGCAUUAGCAAAACAUCACAUGACAUGUACAUGAAAACAUGCAAGCCAUCAACCACUAAACAAGCCAUCAGGAGCUUAACAAAGCAUGCUUAACAGGUGACACAAAAAAGGCAUAUGAAUAAAGAAAACAAAAUGUUUAGCACUUCAUACUAAUUUUCCUAAUUCAAAACAAAAAUGCAGACCAUAGUAAAUUCCAUCUGCAGAUGGAGCAAACCUUCACUGCACGUAGUAUGCUAGUGCAGAGCAAGUCAAAUAUGUAAACAUCUGUAAAUAGGAUCAUAAACAGAACCAUGAAGGAUAGCGUACCUGGAUCCAUGGAUUUUCUGAAUGAUCAACACUUCUUUUUCUCCCUCUUGACCCCCUGUUCAAACAC
rnacentral:lncRNA from 1 species